rnacentral:rRNA from 1 species
UACGUAAGUGGCGAGCGUUAUCCGGAAUUACUGGGCGUAAAGCGUGCGUAGGCGGUUUAGUGUGUGGGAAUUGAAAGCCCGGGGCUCAACUCCGGAUCCGGGUCCCAAACUGCUAGACUCGAGCGUAUCAGAGGAGAGCGGAAUUCCCGGUGUAGCGGUAAUAUGCGUAGAUAUCGGGAGGAACACCAGUGGCGAAGGCGGCUCUCUGGGGUAUUGCUGACGCUGAGGCACGAAAGCCAGGGGAGCGAACGGG